GUGGGGAAUAUUGGACAAUGGGCGAAAGCCUGAUCCAGCCAUGCCGCGUGUGUGAAGAAGGUCUUCGGAUUGUAAAGCACUUUAAGUUGGGAGGAAGGGCAGUAAGUUAAUACCUUGCUGUUUUGACGUUACCAACAGAAUAAGCACCGGCUAACUUCGUGCCAGCAGCCGCGGUAAUACGAAGGGUGCAAGCGUUAAUCGGAAUUACUGGGCGUAAAGCGCGCGUAGGUGGUUUUGUAAGUUGGAGGUGAAAUCCCCGGGCUCAACCUGGGAACUGCCUGCAAAACUGCAUGACUAGAGUACGGUAGAGGGUAGUGGAAUUUCCUGUGUAGCGGUGAAAUGCGUAGAUAUAGGAAGGAACACCAGUGGCGAAGGCGACUACCUGGACUGAUACUGACACUGAGGUGCGAAAGCGUGGGGAGCAAACAGGAUUAGAUACCCCAGUAGUCC
rnacentral:rRNA from 1 species